UACGUAGGGUGCAAGCGUUUAAUCGGAAUUACUGGGCGUAAAGCGUGCGCAGGCGGUUAUGUAAGACAGUUGUGAAAUCCCCGGGCUCAACCUGGGAACUGCAUCUGUGACUGCAUAGCUAGAGUACGGUAGAGGGGGAUGGAAUUCCGCGUGUAGCAGUGAAAUGCGUAGAUAUGCGGAGGAACACCGAUGGCGAAGGCAAUCCCCUGGACCUGUACUGACGCUCAUGCACGAAAGGCGUGGGGAGCAAACAGGAUUAG
rnacentral:rRNA from 1 species